rfam:Cavia porcellus supercont2_32 genomic scaffold, whole genome shotgun sequence.
GGGGAUUUAGCUCAGCGGCAUAAGCGCCUGCCUUGCAAGCAGGCAGGCCUGAGUUCGAUCCCCAGUACCG